rnacentral:rRNA from 1 species
UGGGAACGUGCCUUUUGGUUCGGAACAACCCAGGGAAACUUGGGCUAAUACCGGAUAAGCCCUUACGGGGGAAAGAUUUAUCGCCAAAAGAUCGGCCCGCGUCUGAUUAGCUAGUUGGUGGGGUAAUGGCCCACCAAGGCUACGAUCAGUAGCUGGUCUGAGAGGAUGAUCAGCCACAUUGGGACUGAGACACGGCCCAAACUCCUACGGGAGCAG